rnacentral:lncRNA from 1 species
AGAUUCAUUUACUAUCAUUACUGCAUCCAAAACCAAUGAAAACCAACCACAUUCAUGAUUAUAUAUAUAUAUAUAUAUAUAUACAUAUGUAUGUGUUUUAAUGUGUGGGAGAUUAGCAUACACGGUUGUCCUCUUCAAUCUAUUUCCAAAUUUUGCAUUACUCGUCUUAUUCUAAAAUAAGAAACAAGUAGAAAAGGAGAAAUUGAAAAAACAUAUGUAGAAUGUAUUUGAUGGUCUCCUGAUUGAGACCCAGUUGCUUUGGAUGUUGGUGGGCAAGGUAUAUCAGCAUUGAAGAUUGAUCACUUUUUGGCUUCAAAAGAUUCAUGUGAAGUUUUAUAUCAUCUGUUUCUUUUGUAAUAAAAUCUGCUGCGAAGGAAAAGUGAUAUUGUGCUGGACAGAAACAUUGUUUAUUCCAAUUAAGGUUUUCACAAGAACUGUCAAUUGCUUUAGAAUGAUUGUCCCACACAAUAUAUGUAACACUCCACAAUUUCUAAAGCUAAAAUUAUCAGGACAUGAAUUUUUACUCGUACAAUACAUUCCAAUUGAUGGGUUGAGUUGGAGAAAUCUUGCCUCCUAUUUUACUCCAAACGUCAUUGCCAUGUGCAUUUAAUCUUGUUAUAUUUACUCUGACACACUAUAUAAUCCACAAUUCAAACCCUAAAAGUGCAUCCUUUAACAUUUCAAAGGUCAAAUGUGAAAAUAAACCUCAGCCUAAAAUCAAUAGAACAUUCAUAUUAAAUGUAUUUAUAAUAACAAAAAUAAUAAAAUCCGCUGAGUUAUUGUGAACAAAAAGUUUGACGCCUGCCCAAAAUUCUGUCCACAACUCAGUCAAGUUUGCUCAAGCUUUACUCAACUACUCCAAGCCUAUCCUCA